GAUGAACGCUGGCGGCGUGCCUAAUACAUGCAAGUCGAGCGAACAGAUAAGGAGCUUGCUCCUUUGACGUUAGCGGCGGACCGGUGAGUAACACGUGGGUAACCUACCUAUAAGACUGGGAUAACUUCGGGAAACCGGAGCUAAUACCGGAUAACAUUUGGAACCGCAUGGUUCUAAAGUGAAAGAUGGUUUUGCUAUCACUUAUAGAUGGACCCGCGCCGUAUUAGCUAGUUGGUAAGGUAACGGCUUACCAAGGCGACGAUACGUAGCCGACCUGAGAGGGUGAUCGGCCACACUGGAACUGAGACACGGUCCAGACUCCUACGGGAGGCAGCAGUAGGGAAUCUUCCGCAAUGGGCGAAAGCCUGACGGAGCAACGCCGCGUGAGUGAUGAAGGGUUUCGGCUCGUAAAACUCUGUUAUUAGGGAAGAACAAAUGUGUAAGUAACUGUGCACGUCUUGACGGUACCUAAUCAGAAAGCCACGGCUAACUACGUG
rnacentral:rRNA from 1 species